CCGGCGCACGGGUGAGUAACGCGUAUGCAACUUACCUAUCAGGAGGGGAUAACCCGGCGAAAGUCGGACUAAUACCGCAUGAAGCAGGGGCCCCGCAUGGGGAUAUUUGCUAAAGAUUCAUCGCUGAUAGAUAGGCAUGCGUUCCAUUAGGCAGUUGGCGGGGUAACGGCCCACCAAACCGACGAUGGAUAGGGGUUCUGAGAGGAAGGUCCCCCACAUUGGUACUGAGGCACGGACCAA
rnacentral:rRNA from 1 species